rnacentral:rRNA from 1 species
AGAGUUUGAUCCUGGCUCAGGACGAACGCUGGCGGCGUGCUUAACACAUGCAAGUCGAGCGGUAAGGCCCUUUCGGGGGUACACGAGCGGCGAACGGGUGAGUAACACGUGGGCGACCUGCCCCCUACUCUGGGAUAAGCCUGGGAAACUGGGUCUAAUACCGGAUAUGACCACAUGUCGCAUGGUGUGUGGUGGAAAGUUUUUUCGGUGGGGGAUGGGCCCGCGGCCUAUCAGCUUGUUGGUGGGGUGAUGGCCUACCAAGGCGACGACGGGUAGCCGGCCUGAGAGGGCGACCGGCCACACUGGGACUGAGAUACGGCCCAGACUCCUACGGGAGGCAGCAGUGGGGAAUAUUGCGCAAUGGGCGGAAGCCUGACGCAGCGACGCCGCGUGGGGGAUGACGGCCUUCGGGUUGUAAA